GACGAACGCUGGCGGCGUGCCUAAUACAUGCAAGUAGAACGCUGAAGGAGGAGCUUGCUCUUCUGGAUGAGUUGCGAACGGGUGAGUAACGCGUAGGUAACCUGCCUGGUAGCGGGGGAUAACUAUUGGAAACGAUAGCUAAUACCGCAUAACAGUAGAUGUUGCAUGACAUUUGCUUAAAAGGUGCAAUUGCACCACUACCAGAUGGACCUGCGUUGUAUUAGCUAGUUGGUGGGGUAACGGCUCACCAAGGCGACGAUACAUAGCCGACCUGAGAGGGUGAUCGGCCACACUGGGACUGAGACACGGCCCAGACUCCUACGGGAGGCAGCAGUAGGGAAUCUUCGGCAAUGGACGGAAGUCUGACCGAGCAACGCCGCGUGAGUGAAGAAGGGUUUCGGAUCGUAAAGCUCUGUUGUAAGAGAAGAACGAGUGUGAGAGUGGAAAGUUCACACUGUGACGGUAUCUGACCAGAAAGGGACGGCUAACUACGUG
rnacentral:rRNA from 1 species